rnacentral:tRNA from 1 species
GAUUGUGGCUCAGUGGUAGAGUGCUUUCCUAGAAAGUGUGAGGCACUCAGUUCAAUCCUCAGCACCA